GAUGAGCAUGCGUCCCAUUAGCUAGUUGGUAAGGUAACGGCUUACCAAGGCUACGAGUGGGUAGGGGUCCUGAGGAGGGAGAUCCCCCACACUGGUACUGAGACACGGACCAGACUCCUACGGGAGGCAGCAGUGAGGAAUAUUGGACAAUGGGCGCAAGCCUGAUCCAGCCAUGCCGCGUGCAGGAUGACGGUCCUAUGGAUUGUAAACUGCUUUUAUACAGGAAGAAACACUCCGACGUGUCGGAGCUUGACGGUACUGUAAGAAUAAGGAUCGGCUAACUCCGUG
rnacentral:rRNA from 1 species